rnacentral:rRNA from 1 species
AUUGAACGCUGGCGGCAGGCCUAACACAUGCAAGUCGAGCGGAUGAAGGGAGCUUGCUCCUGGAUUCAGCUGCGGACGGGUGAGUAAUGCCUAGGAAUCUGCCUGGUAGUGGGGGAUAACGUCCGGAAACGGGCGCUAAUACCGCAUACGUCCUGAGGGAGAAAGUGGGGGAUCUUCGGACCUCACGCUAUCAGAUGAUCCUAGGUCGGAUUAGCUAGUUGGUGGGGUAAAGGCCUACCAAGGCGACGAUCCGUAACUGGUCUGAGAGGAUGAUCAGUCACACUGGAACUGAGACACGGUCCAGACUCCUACGGGAGGCAGCAGUGGGGAAUAUUGGACAAUGGGCGAAAGCCUGAUCCAGCCAUGCCGCGUGUGUGAAGAAGGUCUUCGGAUUGUAAAGCACUUUAAGUUGGGAGGAAGGGCAGUAAGUUAAUACCUUGCUGUUUUGACGUUACCAACAGAAUAAGCACCGGCUAACUUCGUG